rnacentral:misc_RNA from 1 species
AGCGAGCAAGAGGGUUGAUCACAAACUGACCACUAGAGGGCGGCCUUUCAGUAAAUUGGCUGAAAAAGUAAAUUGCGGUGACGCCAUGGUGAUGGUAAACUAGAGAAUCCCAUUUGCAAAUCACUGAACUUUGAAGUCGGACACAAAGAUCUGUGACUGAACGUCCGCUUCAUUGAGGCAUGUCACAAUGUUACUCACGUAACCAACAUGUCGAGAAAACCUGUGAGAAAAGUCCCAGACAGCUUGGAGCUGAUAGAGAGAAUUCUCCAGCGAACAACACUUACGACCCAGAAAGUUGGGCACAAGACCGUCGAAGAUGUUGGUGGUAAGGUAUAUUACGACUUCUUAGACUUCACUCGGAAGGAGAGGGACAAUGCUGUGGAUAACGCAGUCAGAGAAACACAGGAAGCGGCCGAUAGGAGACUCAAGAAACGUCUUGAGGAAGCUCGCAAGAAAGCAGAAGCUGACAAAAAACAAGCGUUGGAAGAAGCCCGAUUGGAAGCAGAACGUACAGCUGCUCGUGUUGCCGAUGCAAGAGAUCAGUUGGAGGCGGAGAGGAUUGCUAAGCUGACGUGGGCGUUCAAGAUCGAGAAGGAAGACGCUUUACAGAAACAGUGGGAGGAAUGUGAGCGUAUCAAGAAGAAAGCCGUGGAAGACGCGAUCGCUGCGACGACGAGGAGACUGCGCAAGGAGUUUGCGCUUGAGAAGGAACUAGCUGUGGCCAAGGCUCUGUCUCUAGCAAGGGAGAAGUUCAAGAAACGAUUGGAGGAAGCAAUUCGAGCCACCAGGGUGGAAUGUGAGCGAAUUGCAGCAGAGGAGGCGGCGAGGGUAGCUAAACUUCACAGAGAGGAAGUCUUGAGACUGGAACAUAUAAUUGAAGACUUACAGCGGCAGAUUUGUGACGAGAUUGAAGCACGAGAGAUGGUACAAAAUGACUUCAAGGCAAUCCAACAAGAUUACCGUCGUUUCCUUGACUACACGGACGGUAAAUACCACUCUGAUUAUCUGAUGCGACUUCGUAAACACGGAAUGCGAUACGACGUGAACUGGGACCGUCGCAGCAGUGAAGACGUGGACAUAUUUCCCCUGCCGACAUUUCUCCACAAUUACACCAGACAAGGCAAGGUUCGAGCCGACGACCCAUCGGCUAAAGUCAACCGGUUUGUUGCGGUUCAUUCCAGAUGACAGGUAUUCGUACCAGUUUAUUCUAGUUUGCUCACAUAAAAACUACAUGUGAGUCAACCGGUUUGUGGCGGUUCAUUCCAGAUGACAGGUACUCCUAUGAGAUCGCAUAUAAUGUGACAGGCCCUUAAGCACAAUACAAGAGAGCAACGAUAUUUGUACGUAUUACCUGAGAUGAGAUCCUUACCUUUAUUUUGGUGCAGUGAUAGAGUAUAUGCAAAGGCUUUAUAUGUACAAGUAUGCAAAAAAUAUUAAGUGUUGAACAAUUUUGUAGAAUAUUUACCUUUUACGAAAAGACAAGGACGAAGAGUCAUGUGAAUGUUUUAUA